rnacentral:rRNA from 1 species
GACGAACGCUGGCGGCGUGCUUAACACAUGCAAGUCGAACGGUGACGACAGGGCUUGCCUUGUCUGAUCAGUGGCGAACGGGUGAGUAACACGUGAGUAACCUGCCCCUGACUCUGGGAUAACCCCGGGAAACCGGAGCUAAUACCGGAUACGACACGCCUCCGCAUGGGGAGCGUGUGGAAAGUUUUUCGGUCUGGGAUGGACUCGCGGCCUAUCAGCUUGUUGGUGAGGUAAUGGCUCACCAAGGCGACGACGGGUAGCCGGCCUGAGAGGGCGACCGGCCACACUGGGACUGAGACACGGCCCAGACUCCUACGGGAGGCAGCAGUGGGGAAUAUUGCACAAUGGGCGAAAGCCUGAUGCAGCGACGCCGCGUGAGGGAUGACGGCCUUCGGGUUGUAAACCUCUUUCAGCAGGGAAGAAGCGCAAGUGACGGUACCUGUAGAAGAAGCACCGGCUAACUACGUGCCAGCCGCCGCUGUAAAAC